rnacentral:lncRNA from 1 species
UAAAUAAGGUUACCUCACACGAAGGUGAGUCCAGAGAUAUAAUCACCAUCAUAUUUUACAUCACAAGGAAUUACAUUAUAAGAGUUUUCAAAAGCAGUACAUUACAAACUGCUAAAGUCAUGGUUUUUGGCAGCGGAAAUCAUACGCGAUGAUUUACAGCACGUCGUCAAGACGGAUGUCAUGCUAAGCCCAGGCACGACAUCACUCGGUACCACCAAUGUUGGUCGGGGACGGAUCCCAUUUCACGGACCAACCUUCUGAAAGAGCACAGGGUCAAGGCAAGGGAAGAGUAGGGUCUUCAAGACAUUUCCUGCAAAACAUAUAACUAGCAAGGCUGAGUAUACUAAUACUCAGCAAGGCUUACCCGGGAUUGGGUAUACUUUAGCCCAUAACUAGACUCAUGAAGGCAUUUCAAGGGUUCUGGGUUUAUUUUUAGCUGAAAAGCAACAAAGAGUAUAACUUACUUUCAAGUUUAGCUUUCAGAUUCUAGUUUGAUUAGCCAAUCUAGGUAAGCACCUAUACUAAACAAGCAAGAUAUAGAUUAUCAUCCAUCAAGAUUAUUCCCUCAACAUUUACACUUUUUUACUCGAUGUGGUAGAAGGGAUAAGCAGUCUCAUUCAUCGUGAGAGGCGGACGAUUCCUGAAUCGAAAUUCAACCUUGCAAGGUAAACCUAACACACACGCCUGGAACAUCCAAAGAUCGUUCCGAAGCAACCGUUUGCCUUUCAUUCCGGGUCGUGGACAGGGCCACCACAAGCGACUGCAGGACCAUACGCACACCCUAUAUGUGCAGGGCGUACGUCUGUAGCGCGACUACAAAACCCGUACUCCUGGUUGCCCUUGCAACACGUAUUCCCACACGUCGAAUCAAGUAACCAGAAGAACAAAUACAUGUGGUGGUCAGUAUGUCCACUUGCCGGGCCGAUUGGUUACUAGGCUUACCGCUUACCAUAUUUCGCGGUAUGUGGCUAGUACUUUCAAACGCUCAGCCACCACUACCACACAUUUCGACCUUAAAGCUUUUAUCAAAACAGAUAGGGUAAACUUUAGGUCAUGAUACAACACAUGACCCUGUCCAUCAUCCUUAUAGUGGUUGCAGAAUUGUAAACAAGCAACUCCUAUAUCGCGCGAGUGACAGGGAAUCACCUGACUUUUACCGGUCCUAUUUAGCAGAGCAUCUAUGCGAAAAGGACUCGGGUACAGUACACUGGGUUCCUGAGAUAUCAUGCAACUAGAGUGUCAUUGCAACUCCUAGACGUAAUGCAAGAUAUAUAAUGUAUAAGAUUGCGUAUUGUAGUAAGUUGAAAUACUGGGUUAUGCACCGGGGCUUGCCUUUACUGGUGGGUCUGAAGUCAGUAAGUCAACAUCUUCCGAACUUUGGUUCGGGGCUUCAGAUAAUCCUUUGGUGACGUUCAUUUGGUCUUUAGAGGCAUCCUCCGCAGACUCCGGGGAGAUCUCGUAGGUACCGUUGCCGAAGUAGUCGUGUCUACAUGCAAUGCAACAUUACAUUCAAGCGUGCACACAAAACUAUUUUAUUUCACAGCAAAGCUGCAAUCCAGCACUCAUUUAACACACUAUUCAUAUAACAAACACAAAGAUCGGAAACUAACUUUGGUGGAGCUUUAGGAGGAUAACUAAUUAGAACUGGCUACUUGUUGAUGGUUACAACAGAGCCGUUUGGAAACAACGGAGGUUUAGCUGAUGGAAAGAUGCAUUAGGUUUCUAGAUGAUCGAUGAAAGCAUCGAUUAUCUUGGCAGAAGGAUGAUUCCUAAAGCAGUUGUCUUAACUGAGAUGUGCUUAAGUGUUAUUCUAGGUAACUAGUGUGGUUGUAUCGACCCGAUUACGUCAGCACAGCAAUUGAGUGACGUAUAGCUGAAUGGAGUGUGGUUAAGGGUAUAUGACCGAUAAACAUAUAGCCGAUCUCUCAGUCGAUAAAUCGACUGAUAGAAGUGUGUGGAUAAGGAUGGGGAAACUAAGGAUCGAUCGGCCGUGUUUGACCGAUAUGGAAAAGCAACCAAAAUCGGCUUGGGUCGGCCGAUGGUAAGAACCCUAAGAUCGUGGGUGUCUCUCCGAUACAUCGACUAUGUGCAGCCGAUGUAGAACAGAACAAAAGAACUGUAUCGGCAGUAGCCGAUACUAGAAAGGUAACAAUCGUAUCAGCUAACUAGCCGAUGGUAGAAGCAUCGAUUGACAGCUGUUACACAGAAACACCAUAGACUCAAGAAAACUGAUGCUUAGCGGCUGAACCAAAAGCUGAUGCUGAGGCAUAACCGUAGAGAUGUUUUGGCUAAGCAGCAGACCUACACAAACUAACAGGGAUCCUUUUACGACAAAGAACUUAAAGAAACGGCAAUCAAGACGAGGACAAUGUCUUGAUGGUAGGGAUAUGAGCUCUAGGGUGAUAGGAUUAACUAACUGUCACACUGCUCCACUUAAAACAUACACCCUAUAAUUUAUCUUCUAGCUAUAACACAAGCAUACAAUAUAAAGCACAAUGAAACAUUCAUUCUUUAACAUUUGACCUAGACCACACAUCAAAGAUUUUCACUCAAGUUUACAACAUAAAACUUGUAGGGUUUAACUUAGGGUUUCAAACAAAACUGAUUUUACAUUUUUAUGAACUUCCUACAAGAAUCUAUAAAAUGUAGAAGUUCAUUGAUUUGAAACAAAGAAGAUUUUGGAAACUUUACAGAGAACACCCUAGAACUUCUAAAACAUAGCAAUUAAGUCCCUGGUCCGGGAAAACAGAUAACAGGAAGAUAACGACGAUAUUCCGGCAAAGGAAUCGUCGGCAUUAAGAAGAUUCAGUAGGUCAGGGCAAACCUUGGUUGUGGAGAAGAAUGGGCGGAAAGUAAUUCCCCGUGGUGAACAAGAUUGGCGAUGAAAAGUGCUCGAUGAGGGGGUUCAUGAGCUAUCUUGAGGUGUCGAGGUCUUGUUCGGACGAUCGACGAGGGAAAGGAGUUGCUGGAUGUCGUGGAUCAUGGGACGAGACGAUGGAGCCGAACGGGUUCGCUAUACCGACUUUUCCGCGAACCCUAGGGUUUUCCUGCUCACGAGCUGAGUCGGCCACCAGUAGAAUGCUUCUGCUCCAUACUCGCGGAUGCGCUAGUCCAAUUCAGUCCGGACGUCCGCCUUGUUUAGCCGUGCCACACUCGCCCCUUCUGCCUCCGUGAGAACCGAAGCCCGUUCACACCGGGGCUAUCUCCAUAUCUUCCGCGAGUAGUCCGCAGUGCCGCUUGAUCUCAUUUGCUGCUUUCCCUUUAACGGUCUCCGACGUCCUCCACGCGCGACUCUACUGCUCCCUGGGCGGGUUCGCCUAUAGCCGCCGCAUUACAACUCCUCUCACAUCGCGCGCGACCUCCCAGCACAUCGUCGCCCUGCACGCUGUGCAGUUGCUCCUCCGCUUCCAGCUGCCAAACCCGUGUUCGCCCGGCCUUGCCGCGUCACUUCCGCGCUCACACACGCGUAUUCGCGCCACCUGGGCCUACUCCUGCCCCGGCCGAGCCACUCGCGCGCGCCCACCGCGCCUCCAGCGCCCUCCGCGCGCGCUCCGCUCAACACCUGCACACGCCACCGGCUUCCGCUGCGUUACCGCGCGUAUGUUCGCGCCACCCGCUCGGCGUCGCUUACAUUCGCUCCUGCACUGCCAGCCGUGCCGCUCACGAAUUCGCGUCCACUUCCUGCGCGACAUGCGCCUUCACUCGCCCGCGCGCAUGCACUCGCUCCCGUGCACCUCCACGCCUCCUGCUGUCGUGCACGCCCUAGCCACAUCACCUGCUCCCGCUCACGCCUCGUCUGCUCCCGAGCCGCGCACCAACGCCGGCCUGCCGCCAUCCUGCGCACGCUCGCGCUCGCCCAGCUCCUGCCGUCACCUGUGUCGCGCUCCAGCUUCCGCUCGCGUGCUCCCCUGUGCGUUCGCGCGCCUGAGCCACUGGGCACCGCCAGCCGCCCGUUGCCACGCGCCUGAUCCGGCCCCGCGCACGCGCCUCCUCUCUCCUGCGCUCGGGCCGAGCCGCC